CGCGGUGGUCCCACCUGGCGCGGUGGUCCCACCUGACCCCAUGCCGAACUCAGAAGUGAAACGCCGUAGCGCCGAUGGUAGUGUGGGGUCUCCCCAUGCGAGAGUAGGGAACUGCCAGGC
rnacentral:rRNA from 1 species